rnacentral:lncRNA from 1 species
AGCUCAAAACCCCUUCCCAUUAGUGGUGCUGUCCCACAGGUCUGGCACUGCCCUACAUCCACCCCUGUUACUGACUGCUGAGCUGCUGUUUAGCAGCUGGACUGGCUGGUGACAGCUGGGUGACACAGCCACUGCCCAGCAGCUGCCACUGCUCCAAGAAGGGACACACUGGUGCUGGAGGGGGCACCAGGGCAGCGUGGGCACCACCCGACACCCUGGGGCACAGAAACAAACAUUCGCCAUCUGGGCGGCAUUAAAGCGACGGCCAGGAAGAGAUCCCACACAUCCUUGGCUUCUCCUCGCCGGCAGUUCCCUUCCUUUGGGCGCCACCCGAGACAUCUCCUGCCCGUUCGAUGUUCCCUCCGCAUCCUGCUCCCAGCGAAUGCCAUCCGUGCCCGGGAGCGCUGGGAGUGCCGCUGCCACCCGGUCCCCAAAGCAGGCAGAGCUCAGCUGUGCUGCCACCAGGGAGGUGCCUGAUGUCCCCAUCCUCUGGUUCGGGCUGAGCCACAGGGAUGCAGAAGAGGCUCCAGCCCUCAUUCCUUCCCCUUCAAAUGCAGGAUUUGGUGGAUGGGGAUCUGCCCACACCACAACAUGUACACGGAGUAUCUCUCCCCAGCCCACAUUUAGAUGAUUUUGCACAACUCAGCAGCACCUCCACUAAAACAAAGCUCAGCCAGUCCUGGCCUUUCAGGCAACUUUUCCAAUUCCCAGCUCACCAGCAUAUUCAACACCAGAGGGGUUAAUGCCCAAAAUGAUUCAAGUGGGGGGAGGAAGGCAUUUUUUUAAUUAGAGAGAAAAUAAGAGGCAGAUAAUAUGUCUGAUGAAUUAUGGCUGUCUCUCUUUCGGUGCCAUUGCAUCUGGGGAUGCUGGAAAGCAGUUCCUAAUGGCACUGCUUUAUCUAAGAGGAUGAUGGAUAGUAGUGAAAGACAGAAAAAGGGGAAAAGUAAGACAUUAGCACAUCAAUGGUGUGCCUGUGACCUCCAUCAAGGGAUUCGAACCAACUUAAUGAAAUUUUAAUUAGACAGCAAGCAGUGCGCUGUGCUGGGUACCCGAUCAGCCCUCCUUCCCCUCGCU